CUGGCUCAGGAUGAACGCUGGCGGCGUGCUUAACACAUGCAAGUCGAACGAAGCAACUUAUUACGAUCCCUUCGGGGUGACGAUUUGUUGACUGAGUGGCGGACGGGUGAGUAACGCGUGGGUAACCUACCUUGUACAGGGGG
rnacentral:rRNA from 1 species